GGGCUCACUUUGGCAGCACAUAUACUAAAAGUGGAACAAUACAGAGAAGAUUAGCAUGACCCCUGCACAAGGAUGACAUGCAAAUUUGUGAAGCAUUCCAUAUUAAA
rnacentral:snRNA from 1 species